rnacentral:rRNA from 1 species
GACAGAGGGUGCUAGCGUUGUUCGGAAUUACUGGGCGUAAAGGGCGCGUAGGCGGCUCGUUUAGUCGGGUGUGAAAUCCCAAGGCUCAACCUUGGAACUGCAUUCGAUACUGGCGGGCUAGAGACCGGAAGAGGUGGGUGGAAUACCCAGUGUAGAGGUGAAAUUCGUAGAUAUUGGGUGGAACACCGGUGGCGAAGGCGGCUCACUGGUCCGGUUCUGACGCUGAGGCGCGAAAGCGUGGGGAGCAACAGG